rnacentral:rRNA from 1 species
GACAGAGGCCCCAAGCGUUAGGCGGAAUCACUGGGCUUAAAGCGUGUGUAGGCGGACUUCUAAGUGCCUUGUGAAAUCCCACGGCUCAACCGUGGAACUGCUCGGUAUACUGGUCGUCUUGAGCCUUCUAGGGGCGAGUGGAACAAAUGGUGGAGCGGUGAAAUGCGUAGAUAUCAUUUGGAACGCCAAUGGUGAAAACAACUCGCUGGGGAAGUGCUGACGCUGAGACACGAAAGCCAGGGGAGCGAACGGG